rnacentral:rRNA from 1 species
AUUGAACGCUGGCGGCAGGCCUAACACAUGCAAGUCGAACGGUAGCACAGAGAGCUUGCUCUUGGGUGACGAGUGGCGGACGGGUGAGUAAUGUCUGGGAAACUGCCCGAUGGAGGGGGAUAACUACUGGAAACGGUAGCUAAUACCGCAUAACGUCUUCGGACCAAAGUGGGGGACCUUCGGGCCUCACACCAUCGGAUGUGCCCAGAUGGGAUUAGCUAGUAGGUGGGGUAAAGGCUCACCUAGGCGACGAUCCCUAGCUGGUCUGAGAGGAUGACCGGCCACACUGGAACUGAGACACGGUCCAGACUCCUACGGGAGGCAGCAGUGGGGAAUAUUGCACAAUGGGCGCAAGCCUGAUGCAGCCAUGCCGCGUGUAUGAAGAAGGCCUUCGGGUUGUAAAGUACUUUCAGCGGGGAGGAAGGCGUUAAGGUUAAUAACCUUGGCGAUUGACGUUACCCGCAGAAGAAGCACCGGCUAACUCCGUGCCAGCCGCCGCCGUAA